AUGAUUUAUUCACUACUCGACCACACUUAAACCAGUAAGUAACACAUUUCAAUUUAAUCCGAUCAAACAUCACAUGGGAGCUCCUAAUCUGAGAGCGGUGGAUCUUAUCGCCGGCGAUAAAAACGUCCGAGGAUGUAUUCAAAUUCAUACAAGACACUUCCGGGACUAACAGGAAAGAAGUCAGGACUGUCUCCUGGCUUCCAUGGAUUUCAUAUUCGCUCUUUUGGUGAUACCACAAAUGGCUGCAACUCUGCUGGUUGGUUUUUGUUCACUCUUUGUCUAUCUUACUGUACACUUGGAGCUCAAGACUAAGUCCUUGAUCAAGAUGAGAGCUAUAUUUUUUUUUGUUCGUACCAAAAGCCUAUGGCUAAUCAUAUAUAAUAACAAGAGAAACGCUGAAAGCAUGGAGCUUUCUGGUUACUCCAACCUGUUGUAUCAUCAUUGACAAGGUAAGUCCAUUUAGUUCUUCCACUGCGACCAAAGUGCUUGACUUGCAUGACUUUCUCUCUACCAACAGGUUUGAUUCAUCAUUUCCCAUAAACCCCAUUUCAUUUCAAGCACAUGUCUUUUGGUCGGGGCACAUAGAUAGAUCAUCGAUGGAAACUGAAUCUAGCGAUGGUUAAAUUGAAUAAAGUUCGAAUCUCUCUGGUCGGAAAAUUGUGAUGUUUCGAACUUAGAUUCGAGGGUUUGUAGUUAGAUCAUUUGCUUGUUUUGUUUUUGUGGCUGAGGUUCUCUCUCUCUUCUUUGAUGAUUGUGUCAAGCUUGUGGGUAACAUGAGUUGAUUGAUGAAGCUCUGUUUUGUUUCUACUAUGCAGUGUUGGUGCCAAGAGGGUUAAAGGCUUGUGUAUUAUUAACUUCAAGGAACUUUGGUGAGGCUAAGAACUACGAAGGAUGUGUGAGAUGUCUGCAGCAAGUGGAUAUCGAGUACAAGACGUUAAAGGCAAGACUUCUUGAAAAGCAUCUCAGCGAGUGAGUUCUCGUUUAAGAUAGUCUUAAAGUUGCCAUGGGGAAGCUCAUGCUCUCAAAAUACCAAAGCUUCUUCUACUACAUGGAGCAAAACGGAUGGGACCGCGACAAUGGUUUAGGUGAUGACGAGCUUCUCACGUGUUCACGCACAAGGGUAACAUGUGUUUUAACGUAAGCAUCUACAAAACAAAUUGCGUCGAGAUGCUUAGACCCUGCAACCAUUGCUUCGUCGAAACAAGAGAGAACAAGGGAGAGAGUCGUUGUCUGCGUCAAGCUCAGAAACUGCCAGUAGGAGGAAGACUGAAACAGAAACGUGAGCUUGCUAACUUGGGAAAUAAGCAAGUCAAAGAAGCUGAAAAAUCAAACAAGUGUAAAAAGAGGAAGGUGGAUACUGACUAUGACGACGACUCUGAAGCUUCUGGCACUUCGUCUCUUGUUCCAGAGUUUACACUCAACCAAAAAGAAAUUAUACGUCCUGUUCUUUCUUGGGUGUUCCAAAGAUGUUUGCGGAGAUGCAUAUGCCAAAGGAGGAAACGGUGUUCAAGUUUCAUGAUCCAAAACAGAACAAGUCAUGGUAUGUGGUCUCUAAGAUACAGUCAAGAUUCUCUCGUGGAUGGCCUGGUUUGGUUAAAGAUUUUGGUUUAAAGGUCGGUGAUGUUUGCACCUUUGAGCUCAUCAAACCGACCGAGAUGAUUCUCACUGUCGACUCCAUGUAGUCUUAGUUAAUGUGAGACAAACCGAACCUUUGUGUUGUGUUGUCUGACGGUGGUGAUGUAGUUGAGAUGAUCUUAGUUUCUUCAUGUUUUAUUAUCAACCAAAUCAUUAUGUUGUGUC